UUUCCGUUACAAAAUUUAGUGAAUAAAAAUGUUUUAUAUUUAUGAGUUUGCCAUGAUUGCUCUGAUUGAAUCAUGGCAAAAUACUUAUUCAGUUCUAACUGUUUAUUAAAUAAGCUUGGGUCUUUAAGGCUUGACCUUGGUGAAUGCAGUAAAAAAUAUUUGAAUAAGGUCUUGUGUGUAAAACACUUCAAUGUGCCUUUUUUAUAUUUUUUUCUUUUUUAGGCCAACUCUCACGUGUUGGCGGAAAGUUACCAAAAUAUGUUAAGGACUUAAUUCAGAGAUAAUGUUGCUAAACGAUUUACAGUCGAUAAUCUUUUGAAAGCAGAAAAACUCAGUGUCAAACAAAGAAUAUGCGAAUUAUUUGAGAUAUGAUUGAAAUUUGCAAAGAAAGUAAAAAUCAAACUAGUUUCAUUCUAAGUUAUUGUAUAUAAUUUUAAAAUU
rnacentral:lncRNA from 1 species